UUUGCCUUGUUUAUUAUUGGUAUAAAGCUGCUCUUGGCAUUGGGAGCAGACAGUAAAACACUCCCCAAAGGAUCCAGGCUCCACAAACCCUCGGGACACUAGAGUAACUGCAGCUUGUCGUCAGGACAUGUUUCCCCUGAGGGGAAGCACUACUGCAAAGCCAUUUAUUUCAGGCAGAAAUCAGCUGCCUGACCUGUGUCGCUGUUCAGGAUUUAUUCAGGAGCUGCUGAUCUGCCAGUCCUGUGUCGCCCCACAGGAGGGGCUGAGAGUGCUGCUGCUCCACUGCAGGAAUGUUCCUUAGAGUUGUGGACAGGCACUCUUCCCGCCAUUCCCUCUCUGCAGCCUUGCCCAUGGCAGGUGGGAUUCACCCUGGGAACAGGCAGGGAUUUGCCUGCCCUGCCCCAGGGCAGGUGGGGGCUGUGCCCAUGCUCUGGGUGCCCUGCCCUGCUGGGCUGCCCAGGAGGUGAGGACACUAGGGUGGCAGCCACGCACCUCUGCCCUUGCAGGUUCAAGGAGCACCAGGCUGGCCCCACACAGGCCUUGGGAAAAGGGUUCUUCUUAGGUUUAAACCCAGUUUCUGGCUGGGGUUGGUGCUGGCUUGUUGCAGGAGUAGGGGUCCUGGCCUGGCUCUGCCUGGCUCCACAUGGAUUGCUGCUGCCCGUCAUGGACAGAUGCCUUCCCUGGCCCCACAUGGAUCUACUUCAGCAGGAAAUGUUGCUUCUGGCAUCUUGCUUCUCCCAAGACUGAGCUCCUUUCGUGCCUCCAGGCAGGAUAAAAUUGGUGAGAAGGAAGAUGAACAGUGGGCCAGUUUGGCAACAGAGACCUCUCAUCCACCCUGGGGCAGGUUCCCCCUUGCCAUCCUCCAUGCUGCUUUUUGUUCCCUUCACACUGCAGGGGUGGGUGAGCUGCUCCAACCCUUCCCACCCCACUGCAGGGAUGGGUGAGCUAUUGCCUGCUGGGGGUACCCACAGAGGUUUGUGUAAAUGCCCAGUUUGCUGUGACAGAGCAGACCUGGGAUCGGCAGUGGAACCUGCAAGCGAGCCCCUCUCUGCUUGCUCCCCUCCUGCCCAGUGCUUCUCUGAUCUCCAGGCUUCGAAUCCGGAUGAUGCCUGGCAUUUUUUCUCCCUUUUUCUUUUAUUUUUCUUACACAGGUAUUUUUAUCCUUUGUCUUUCACUCUUUGGGCUUGUGAGUGCCUGUUGCAACCACUGGUGCCUGUGGGUGCAGGCAGGAGGGAGGGCUGGGAGGAGAUUUCGACAACAAUAAGGCUGAUGACGCAAGGCCUGAGCACAGUUCAUAGAGCCAUGCUGCUUGUCAAGCCCAAUCACGUCUCAGAAACAGGACAAGGAACAAUUUCCCAUCAGGAAACAUGGGGGCUUGGGUGGCUGAGCCCCAGCACGGUGCCCCCCAAAGCUGCCCUCCUGCCUGUGUGCCCCACAGGAAUGGAGUGCCCACCGCUGGUGCAGGGCUGGAGCGUGGCAGGAUGUGGUCCUUGGCCCUGGCAGUGUGGUGGUCUUAGGGGCAGCUGCUGCAUCACCUCAUGUACUGGAUUUGCCAGCAUCUGAGCUCACUGAGCAAGGCUGUUCAGACACUUUCCUGUGCUCCAUGGGGGAUUAGGGGCUUCCAUGCAAGGGCAGACUUACGCUGGCCCCACUAUUUCAAAAUUAAGCAUCCAGACCCUACUUUGUCCAACUUUAUUGGGAUGGAAACAGCUAAAGGGAAAAAAUGCUGGUUCCAGAGGAGGCACUUAGUUCUGCUGGUGCUGGGUUCUGCAUUUCAGUGCCCUGUGGAGAUACAUGGAAGACCCCAGCAAAACCAUCCCUGCCUUUCCUCCCUCUUCUCUGCACCCAGGAAGGCUGGAGAGAGAGAGUUUGUCCUGCACCCCUCCCUGACCUGCUGUUGUGCUCUACCCAUAUGGGAGACUGAGGCCCCAGGCACAGGGCAGGCAGAGACCAUGGAGCUGGAGACAGGUGGGAGAAGCAUGAUAGGGGUUUAAAAUAAUCACAUGAAAAUCAAAGUGGUCUCUUGCAGCCUUCAAGACAGAUCCCUGCCUUUCUCUGAAACUCUGAGGACCAAGGACCUUGAUGCAAUUAAGGGAUCUGGCACCUCCAUGCUUCACCAAGGUUUUCAAGGUUUAAAACCAUCAUGCUCAGACGCUCACGCUGCUGCUCGGGAAGCACUGCCCAUGAGGAGGAAAAGCACAACCAUGUCCCUUGUGACAGGGGAGCAGAAUCACCGAGUCAGGUUGGAAAAGACCUCCAAGAUCAUCGGGUCUGACCUGUGCCCGAUGCCCACCUUGUCACUCUGAGCAGAGCACUGAGUGCCACGUCCAGCCGUGCCUGGAGCACCUCCAGGGACGGGGACUCCAAACCUCCCUGGGCAGCC